CCUACGGGAGGCAGCAGUGGGGAAUAUUGCACAAUGGGGGAAACCCUGAUGCAGCGACGCCGCGUGAGUGAAGAAGUAUCUCGGUACGUCAAGCUCUAUCAGCCGGAGAGAAAAUGACUGUACCUGACUACGAAGCCCCGGCUCAAUACGUGCCAGCAGCCGCCGUAAUACUUAGGGGGCAAGCGUUAUCCGGAUUUAAUGGGUGUAAAGGGAGCGUAGGCGGGCUGGCAAGCCUGAUGUGAAAUACCUGGGCCCAACCCCGGGUCUGCCGUUGGAACUGCCAGGCUGGAGUGCCGGAGAGGCAGGCGGAAUGCGUAGUGUAGCGGUGAAAUGCGUAGAUAUCAGGAGGAACACCAGUGGCGAAGGCGGCCUGCUGGACGGCGACUGACGCUGAGGCUCGAAAGCGUGGGGAGCAAACAGGAUUAGAUACCCGAGUAGUC
rnacentral:rRNA from 1 species